GCCCACGUAUGUAAAUGGUCGCCGAUGG
rnacentral:sRNA from 1 species